GCCGCCGUGGUGAAAUUGGCAGACACGCAGGACUUAGAAUCCUGUGGAGCGAUCCGUAUCGGUUCGAAUCCGAUCGGCGGCA
rnacentral:tRNA from 1 species